GGAUGUUGUAUUGGGUUCUUAUAAUUAGGGUAGUACCAGCCCAUUGAAAUUUUUAAAAGCCCUAAACCCUAAUGUUUUAUCUGUAAACCAUAUCGGGCUCAUUUAGGGUUGGACUAGAUAAUAAAGGGUUUUGAAAGGGCUAGGCCCUAUUAGUCAUUAUAUUUUUUUUUAAACUAAACUACGACGUUUUCUUCUUUGAUCAAAGCUUUCUUCUUCGUUCUCGUCGCCAUCACUCAAGGAGUUGGUUUCAGUCUUCGUUCUCGUCGCCAUCAAUCGAUCUCAGUCGCCAUUGAUCGAGGAGUCGAGGGUUUCAAUCGAUCUCGUCGACGAGGGCUUUAACAUCUCAGAUUCUCAGUCGGUGGGUUUCAACAUCUUAGAUUCUCAGUCGGUGGGUUUCAAUCAACUUCGAGAUCGAGCAAUCUCCGGCGUGAGCUCUCUGUCCUCAGACUCGACCUCUCUCUUAUCUCCUCCGAUUUGGGUUUCAAGCAUUGUUGAGGUUGCAAAGCUACGAAGUGAAAAGUGGAAGUCUUUGACAGAAGAAGUGAGUUGCUCUACUCUUUGUUUCUUCCCUAGGUUGCAUGGUGAUUUGUCUAUCGUGAUAUAACUCGGGUUGUAUUAAGUGGCUAUUUAGGAUAAGAAAGUUUAUUUGGAUAAGGCUACUGAAUUAAAGACAGAGUAUAGAGAGAAACUUAUACAGUGACUGUUUCAAAACCCAUUUUGUUCUCUUAGAGGAAAGUUUACUGGUUUUGUUUAGAAACUUGUGAUUGAUGAUUAGCGUUUGAUAUUUUAUUUUAAGAGAGUUUAAAUUGAUUAUCAAUGAUGAUUACUGAUUUGUUA